GACAGAGGAUGCAAGCGUUAUCCGGAAUGAUUGGGCGUAAAGCGUCUGUAGGUGGCUUUUUAAGUCUGCCGUCAAAUCCCAGGGCUUAACCCUGGACAGGCGGUGGAAACUACCAAGCUGGAGUACGGUAGGGGCAGAGGGAAUUUCCGGUGGAGCGGUGAAAUGCGUAGAGAUCGGAAAGAACACCAACGGCGAAGGCAGCUCGCUGGGACGGUACUGACGCUGAGACGCGAAAGCGUGGGGAGCGAACAGG
rnacentral:rRNA from 1 species